UGGUAAUAUUCUGGAUUACUUUGCUCCGGAUUCCUAACCCCCUGUGGCUCCCUGGGAAAUUCUUGGAAAUUCUCGCCCCGGUUAAGGGGGAGAUGGAACAAAGGAGGAUAAAAAAAAAAAAAAAAAGGAGCCAGACCCUUUUAUCUCUUCUGGGAAAAUAGCUCCAAAGCACUCUGGCCAGUUGGCUAGCUGAAGUCAGGCAUGCGGUGUUGAGCCCCGGGAGGGAGAAAAUGGAAUUGGUCCCCAUAGGUAAAGGACUCAGGGCACCGGCCUCAGGAUCCCUGGAAGCGAAUUAGCCCUGUGAGCCUGCAGUGUCCCCAGAUGGAAACGUACUCCCCGCAGCAGCCCUCCGCUCAAAGGGGCCAGGACCUUGCCUGAAGCGUCAGGUGGGUGUGUGCAGCACAAGUGCCUGUAACAACAAGUGUUCGAAGUUUCAAGAAUAACCCGAAAGAUGCAGGGUUUAGGAAAACAAAAGCGGAGACUGGCUGCGCUCACAUGGAGGAAAGAUACAGGGCUCCUUGCACAUGACGAGGUUGUAUUUACACACAUAUUCCACCGCGAACUUUGUCACGGUUACGAAUAACACGACGCGGUUCACAUGAGGCUUUGAUACAAUUUUCAAUUCGCUGCUCACCAGGGCAAGGGUGAGACUCUUCUGUGACAAGUGGGUAGGGGCAAUGUGUCUCCCAAGUGUUUCCCUGACCUGAUGUGUCGUUUGGCAAGGACAGGAUUAUACGUAUGAUAAAGUUGUCUGGAAUAUGUCAGGGCGAAACAGAGUGAAACACAGUUCCCUGUGGCAAAAUUCUCUUUGUUCAUUACAAAUCUGUGGACUUGGCCACCAGACCCUCCGGCAAAGAUUGUCGUUGAAAAUUAGCGUUAACAGGGGCGCCUGGGUGGCGCAGUCGGUUAAGCGUCCGACUUCAGCCAGGUCACGAUCUCGCGGUCCGGGAGUUCGAGCCCCGCGUCAGGCUCUGGGCUGAUGGCUCGGAGCCUGGAGCCUGUUUCCGAUUCUGUGUCUCCCUCUCUCUCUGCCCCUCCCCCGUUCAUGCUCUGUCUCUCUCUGUCCCAAAAAUAAAUAAAAACGUUGAAAAAAAAAAA